rnacentral:rRNA from 1 species
GACAGAGGUGCCAAGCGUUAGGCGGAAUCACUGGGCUUAAAGCGUGUGUAGGCGGGCGAUCAAGUACCUUGUGAAAUCCCACGGCUCAACCGUGGAACUGCUGGGUAUACUGGUUGUCUUGAGCCAGCUAGGGGCGAGCGGAACAGACGGUGGAGCGGUGAAAUGCGUAGAUAUCGUCUGGAACGCCGAAGGUGAAAACAGCUCGCUGGGGCUGCGCUGACGCUGAGACACG